rnacentral:misc_RNA from 1 species
GAGGUCCCCCAGAUCCCGUCAAUGGCGAUGAUCGGACGGCUGCCGGAGCUCCUGCGGGCCCUCCGCCCGCCACGCAACGCGCGGGGCGUCGGCGCCCUCGUCAGCGAGCACACCGCGAAAUGGAUGCAGGACACCAGUAAGAAAUCCCCGAUGGAGUUGAUCAACGAAGUUCCGCCAAUUAAAGUUGAAGGUCGGAUUGUCGCCUGCGAAGGAGAUACUAAUCCCGCCCUCGGCCAUCCUAUCGAGUUCAUCUGCCUCGACCUGAAAGAUCCGGCCAUCUGCAAGUACUGCGGCCUUCGCUAUGUUCAGCAUGAUCAUCAUCACUAGGAGAUGAUAUGAUAUGAGUUCAAAACGAAACCCUAAAUGCUUGUGGAUUGUUUUGUGUUCCUUUACUGAUUGC